CAGUCGCCGCGGUAAUGCGUAGGUGGCAAGCGUUGUCCGGAAUUAUUGGGCGUAAAGGGCUCGCAGGCGGUUUCUUAAGUCUGAUGUGAAAGCCCCCGGCUCAACCGGGGAGGGUCAUUGGAAACUGGGAAACUUGAGUGCAGAAGAGGAGAGUGGAAUUCCACGUGUAGCGGUGAAAUGCGUAGAGAUGUGGAGGAACACCAGUGGCGAAGGCGACUCUCUGGACUGUAACUGACGCUGAGGAGCGAAAGCGUGGGGAGCGAACAGGAUUAGAUACCCCUGUAGUCCCUGUCUCUUAUAC
rnacentral:rRNA from 1 species